ACUCAAAGGAAUAGACGGGGGCCCGCACAAGCGGUGGAGCAUGUGGUUUAAUUCGAUGCAACGCGAAGAACCUUACCAGGUCUUGACAUGGGAAGUAUGGGUUCCAGAGAUGGGAUCCUUCAGUUCGGCUGGCUUCCACACAGGUGCUGCAUGGCUGUCGUCAGCUCGUGUCGUGAGAUGUUGGGUUAAGUCCCGCAACGAGCGCAACCCUCGCUUCCAGUUGCCAUCAUUCAGUUGGGCACUCUGGAGGAACUGCCGGUGACAAGCCGGAGGAAGGUGGGGAUGACGUCAAGUCCUCAUGGCCCUUACGACCUGGGCUACACACGUGCUACAAUGGCGGUGACAGUGGGCUGCGACCCCGCAAGGGUGAGCUAAUCCAUAAAAGCCGUCUCAGUUCGGAUUGCACUCUGCAACUCGAGUGCAUGAAGUUGGAAUCGCUAGUAAUCGCGGAUCAGCAUGCCGCGGUGAAUACGUUCUCGGGCCUUGUACACACCGCCCGU
rnacentral:rRNA from 1 species